UGGGGAAUCUUCCGCAAUGGACGAAAGUCUGACGGAGCAACGCCGCGUGAGUGAUGAAGGCCUUCGGGUUGUAAACUCUGUUGUCAGGGACGAAAGCACCGAUCUAUAAUACAUUUUGGUGUUGACGGUACCUGACGAGGAAGCCACGGCUAACUACGUGCCAGCAGCCGCGGUAAUACGUAGGUGGCAAGCGUUGUCCGGAAUUAUUGGGCGUAAAGCGCGCGCAGGCGGCUUCUUAAGUCCAUCUUAAAAGUGCGGGGCUUAACCCCGUGAUGGGAUGGAAACUGAGAGGCUGGAGUAUCGGAGAGGAAAGUGGAAUUCCUAGUGUAGCGGUGAAAUGCGUAGAGAUUAGGAAGAACACCGGU
rnacentral:rRNA from 1 species